CGGGACGGGUGAGUAAUGUCUGGGAAACUGCCCGAUGGAGGGGGAUAACUACUGGAAACGGUAGCUAAUACCGCAUAACGUCGCAAGACCAAAGAGGGGGACCUUCGGGCCUCUUGCCAUCGGAUGUGCCCAGAUGGGAUUAGCUAGUAGGUGGGGUAACGGCUCAUCUAGGCGACGAUCCCUAGCUGGUCUGAGAGGAUGACCAGCCACACUGGAACUGAGACACGGUCCAG
rnacentral:rRNA from 1 species